rnacentral:tRNA from 1 species
GCCGUUGUAGCUCAGUAAGGCAGAGCGCCUGGUUUCGGCCAGGAGGUCGCAGGUUCGAUCCCUGCCAGCCUGCG